AAUUGUUAAGUUGUUUCUGAAUUGUAUAGGUGUUCCUGAAUUGUAUAGGUGUUCCUGAAUUGUAUAGGUGUUCCUGAAUUGUAUUGCUGAAUUGUAUAGGUGUUCCUGAAUUGUAUAGGUGUUCCUGAAUUGUAUAGGUGUUCCUGAAUUGUUAAGUUGUUUCUGAAUUGUAUAGGUGUUCCUGAAUUGUAUAGGUGUUCCUGAAUUGUAUUCCUGAAUUGUAUAGGUGUUCCUGAAUUGUAUAGGUGUUCCUGAAUUGUAUAGGUGUUCCUGAAUUGUAUAGUUGUUCCUGAAUUGUAUAGGUGUUCCUGAAUUGUACUCCUGAAUUGUAUAGGUGUUCCUGAAUUGUACAGGUGUUCCUGAAUUGUAUAGGUCAGCUGU